rnacentral:rRNA from 1 species
GACGAACCGUGCGAACGUUGUUCGGAUUCACUGGGCUUAAAGGGCGCGUAGGCGGGCUCGCCAGUCCGGGGUGAAAUCUUUCGGCUUAACCGGAAAAGUGCCUCGGAUACUGCGAGCCUUGAGGGAGGUAGGGGCAUGUGGAACUUCCGGUGGAGCGGUGAAAUGCGUUGAUAUCGGAAGGAACGCCGGUGGCGAAAGCGACGUGCUGGCCCUCUUCUGACGCUGAGGCGCGAAAGCCAGGGGAGCAAACGGG